rnacentral:lncRNA from 1 species
UUUUUUUUUUGCUCUCAACUAUGUGCAGUGGUGUGACUAUCUGUGCCUUAGGGUUCUUCUGCAGUUGAGUGGAUGACGUGAUGUCUUACUAAACCCCAGCGCAUGCUCAGUGCCUCCGAUUAUGAAAACUUCUGCUCUUCUUUCUGUGCUUCCUUUUGUUUCUCCUCUCCCUCCACCAUCAUCAUGUUGCUCCUCGAGCCAAGCCAUUUCUGAGACAGGGCACAUUUUGUUUUGUCUUGUUUUCCUGACAGACCCAGACACCUCUGCCUAUAGACAGAGAUUAGAAAAUGAGUGGGCUCUAAGUAGGAGCAAGGAGGGUCAGGGACCAUGCCUGUGACUUCUCUAAAGGCAGUCUUUCCCAUUGAACCCUCCUUUACGCUUGCUUUUCUCUUCUUUGUCAGUAAAGGUUUUCUCUAGAGAUUAUAACAUUUUAAAUUUAUGUAGCAAGUAAAAGUACAGAAAAAAGUACAGUAUUAUUUGUUGAUACACAAUAAUUAAACUAUUCUAAGCCAAGCUUAUACCAGACGGGAUAUGACCUUAUUUUUCUAGAACCCUGUUUGGUUAUUUAAUCUUCUAGUUAUACCAAGUGUUUUUAUUUUUUUUAAUGUGUUUAUGAUCAAAUCUGCAUACCUCACAUGGACUUAAUUAUCCAGGCAAAGCUAAUGACUAAUGUGAGCUAAAGGUAAUAAAUGUCCUAAGAAUUUAAAAAAUGUAUUUGAAAGAGGCAUAAACUUUUAUCCCACUUCUGUUUCUGUGGGUAAAGCUGUCUCCUGCAGUGCUGUCCAAGCCCACGUGCAUGGCAGGCCUUUAGAACUCGGUGCUCAGUAGCCUCUCUGUAGGCUAUUCAGGCCUCUCUCCUGUGUUUGCCAGCUCUUUGAGACAGUUGGAUAGAAAAGUCUCCAUGAGUCCAAUGUCAGUAAUUCCUUCGAUUCUCCAUGGUUGGAAAAUGUAGACUUCUCAAAAUGCCUAAUUUGUGCUUCUAUAUAUACUAAUUUUGUAUUUCUAAAGUGUGGGUAGGUUUCCUGUAAGACAAGCAACGGGGGAAAAACCCAAAACAUCUUUUUCCCUUCUGAAGGACAUAUGUAAAAUUUUUAUUGCAUAAGAUCUUAUUAUAAUGGGUAUGCAGUACUUCAUCCUCAACAAACUAUAGUUAGGCAGAAUUCAAAGUAUUUUAGAGUUUGUGGGUUUGACUUAAAAAAUAUG